rnacentral:tRNA from 4 species
GGAAGGGUGGCCGAGUGGUUGAUGGCGGUAGUCUUGAAAACUACUGUGCUCUAACGGGCACCGGGGGUUCGAAUCCUCCCCCUUCCG